CUAGAGAUAGAAAGUUACUUCGGUACAUCGGUGACAGGUGGUGCAUGGUUGUCGUCAGCUCGUGUCGUGAGAUGUUGGGUUAAGUCCCGCAACGAGCGCAACCCCUAUUGUUAGUUGCCAUCAUUCAGUUGGGCACUCUAGCGAGACUGCCGGUAAUAAACCGGAGGAAGUGGGGAUGACGUCAAUCAUCAUGCCCCUUGUGACCUGGGCUACACACGUGCUACAAUGGUUGGUACAACGAGUUGCGAGUCGGUGACGGCGAGCUAAUCUCUUAAAGCCAAUCUCAGUUCGGAUUGUAGGCUGCAACUCGCCUACAUGAAGUCGGAAUCGCUAGUAAUCGCGGAUCAGCACGCCGCGGUGAAUACGUUCCCGGGCCUU
rnacentral:rRNA from 1 species